GUCCACGCCGUAAACGAUGUCGACUAGCCGUUGGGUCCUUGAGACUUUAGUGGCGCAGCUAACGCAUUAAGUCGACCGCCUGGGGAGUACGGCCGCAAGGUUAAACUCAAAUGAAUUGACGGGGCCCGCACAAGCGGUGGAGCAUGUGGUUUAAUUCGAAGCAACGCGAAGAACCUUACCUGGCCUUGACAUGCUGAGAACUUUCUAGAGAUAGAUUGGUGCCUUCGGGAACUCAGACACAGGUGCUGCAUGGCUGUCGU
rnacentral:rRNA from 1 species